CUGAGACACCGCCCUGCAAAUAUUACAACAGAGGUGGUUGUAAGAACGGGGGGAGGUGCACCUAUUUGCAUGUCUGCCAGUUUUUCCAGGCGGGAAACUGCAAAUAUGGGCGAAACUGUAAACUAAAUCACAGUGCAGAUCGGAGGGCAUCAUCUGGGGGGAGCAGGACUCAGGACGGCGCUGCAACCAGCAAUCCAACGCUAACCAAUGGGAGAUUUUACCAGUGGCAAAUAAAGGACAGAAGUGGCUGGAAGGAUAUCCGGAAUGAUCAGGUUCUUGAGGCCCAGUACUCGCUGCCACACACCAAGAGCAUCAAAAUCUACAACACACCAUACGGGGCCGUGAGCAUAGAUUUCAACAAGAUGAGAGUGUAUGGUAAAAACUUGAAAG